GGAUAUAAAAAUUCUCAAGUUUAAGGGUGCAUCAGAAUCACCUAGAGGGCUUGUUAAAAGACAGAUCUCUGGGCCCUGGCUCCAGAGUUUCUGAUCCAGUAGGUCUGGACUAGGGCCUAAGGAUUUCUAUUUCUCAAUUGGAGGAUUCAUACCUUAGGCUAGAAAUCUAGUAACUUAACUUAAAUCGCACAUUUGCCAAAGAGCAGAUAUGUACAGGAAUCAGGUCUCUUGGAUGGUAGAGCCUGAGGUCAUAACCUGGCAUUAUUUCAGGAGUUUUUUGAGUGAUUGUUGGUAAAGGACAGGAUGACUACCAGUAUAGUCUGCUUGGGCAAAAAUUAAAAAUACCAGCUUCAGGCAGGCAGAUCCAAUAUUCAUCCACCAGCCAUGCAAAUAUCAACACAGUGAAACAGGCCAGGAAGCUGAGGCUUGGGGAGGUGAAGUGAUGCGCCCCGUAUGGAACAGCACAGCAGCAAAUAAGGAAGCAGAACUGCGAUUAUGAUCUUGGUUCUGUCGACCAGGAAGCCAGCGUUCUUAGCUCUUCGGCUCUGCAGUCCCUUGGGCACGGCUGACCACACGGCGGAGCUGAAGUUACUCUGCUGCUUGCCAGGGGUGAGAUGCUGGCCUGCAUCCUCUGGGACUGCCCCUCAGGGCAGAUGCGGGCACAGCUGCCCUCCUCCAGGACAGCCCGACUCUGCCACGAGAGGACUCCCGCUCCCUUUUCUUUGGCCCAGCAGCAGCAAGCUGCCACCGACCACAGGGCCCUGCACUGUACUUGUACACAAUGUACACACACACACACAGAAACGUCUGCCCCUUGAUCUCCUGGGGGACCGCGGCAAAUACAGGCAACAAAUAUAAGCAGACCUCUUUUUGUUAAUU